CAUAUAAAAUAUAAGAUACAUGAUGAACUUGGAAAGAGUAAAGCUGACAGAGAGUCCUGGAUAAAGGAGAUGCUGGUAAACAAAAUUGCCUUAAAGAUAA